rnacentral:rRNA from 1 species
UACGGAGGUCCCAAGCGUUGUUCGGAUUUACUGGGCGUAAAGGGUGCGUAGGUGGCCAGGAAAGUCUGAUGUGAAAGCCCCGAGCUCAACUCGGGAAAUGCAUUGGAUACUACUUGGCUUGAGGAUCGGAGGGGAGACUGGAAUUCUCGGUGUAGCAGUGAAAUGCGUAGAUAUCGAGAGGAACACCAGUGGCGAAGGCGAGUCUCUGGACGAUUCCUGACACUGAGGCACGAAAGCUAGGGGAGCAAACAGGAUUAGAUACCCUGGUAGUCCUAGCUGUAAACGGUGCACACUUGCUGUAGGAGGAUUCGACCCCUUCUGUGGCGGAGCAAACGCGUUAAGUGUGCCGCCUGGGGAGUACGGUCGCAAGAUUAAAACUCAAAGAAAUUGACGGGGGCCUGCACAAGCGGUGGAGUAUGUGGCUUAAUUCGAUGCAACGCGAAGAACCUUACCUGGCCUUGACAUGCAUCUCUAAGCGUGUGAAAGCACGUGACCCCUCGGGGAAUUUGCACAGGUGCUGCAUGGCUGUCGUCAGCUCGUGUCGUGAGAUGUUGGGUUAAGUCCCGCAACGAGCGCAACCCUCAUGUCUUGUUGCCACUUCCACAUGUGUGGAAAGCACUCUAGACAGACUGCCUCGUCUCAACGAGGAGGAAGGUGGGGAUGACGUCAAGUCAGUAUGGCCCUUACGGCCAGGGCUGCACACGUACUACAAUGCCUAGUACAAUGGGAAGCAAUACCGCGAGGUGGAGCAAAUCCUCAAAACUGGGCCCAGUUCAGAUUGUAGUCUGCAACUCGACUACAUGAAGUCGGAAUCGCUAGUAAUGGCGCAUCAGCUACGGCGCCGUGAAUACGUUCCCAGGCCU